AACGAACGCUGGCGGCAUGCCUAACACAUGCAAGUCGAACGAGACCUUCGGGUCUAGUGGCGCACGGGUGCGUAACGCGUGGUAACCUGCCCUUAGGUUCGGAAUAACUCCCCGAAAGGGGUGCUAAUACCGGUUAAUGUCUUCGGACCAAAGAUUUAUCGCCCUUGGAUGGGCCCGCGUUAGAUUAGCUAGUUGGUAGGGUAAAAGCCUACCAAGGCGACGAUCCAUAGCUGGUCUGAGAGGAUGAUCAGCCACACUGGGACUGAGACACGGCCCAGAAUCAUACGGGAUGCAGCAGUGGGGAAUAUUGGACAAGGGGCGAAAGCCUGAUCCAGCAAUGCCGCGUGAGCGAUGAAGGCCUUAGGGUUGUAAAGCUUUUUUACCCGGGAUGAUAAUGACAGUACCGGGAGAAUAAGCUCCGGCUAACUCCGUG
rnacentral:rRNA from 1 species